AUGCAGGUGCAGGUCUGACUCCUGGUGUGCUGUCCUUUACACUGCACAGGGCAGCCAGCGCACAGUGGCUUUGGGCCAGUUGUCUGCGCUGCCUGACGCCCUGCAUGCUGCAGCUUAUCCGUCUGCAUUGAGGAAGCUGAGACCAGGUCAGGGGCAGGGUCCGGGAUGCCCAAGCGCCCCAUCGCCCCAGGCGCGUGGACUCCCAAGUCUUUCGACCAGGACUCCACUACCUCCUAGCAGUGUGACAUGGAACAAGCGACUUCGGAUCCCAUCCGAACGUCGGGUCCUGCGGGAUUGUUGUGAGAAUUAAACGAGAAUAGUAACCGCAUGACACUGGGGAGGGCAGGAAGGAGGCCGUGCUGCCUCUGCUUCGCUCUUCACGAGGGGCCAGCAGCGCGCACAGAACAACGCCACCCGACCCCCCGGCCCGCGUUCAGGCUGCGCGCAUGCGCACUCGGCGAGAACCCGGAGGGCGCGCCACGGGCUCUGCGGCUGCGCAUUCGUCCAGCUUUGCGGCCGCACUACUUGACGGCAGAGGUGCCCCCCCACCCCCACCCCGCCCCACACCCGGGCCGGCGUUGUCGGGGUAACGGCGAGCGCGUGGGGUGGAUGAAGGGUUAUUUUGGAAAAGGAAUUCUGUCUAGAAGCCGUCCAAACUUCACCAUUUCAGAUCCCAAGCUGGUUGCUAAAUGGAAAGAUAUGAAGACAAAUAUGCCUAUAAUCACAUCAAAGAAGUAUCGUCAUCGUGUCGAAUGGGCCACAAAGCUCAUGCGAAGACAGGGGAAGGAUGAGAGUACAGUGCACAGAAUCCUUGAAGAUUACACAAAACCACUUGAGCAUCCUUGCUUAGAACAGAAUGAAGACGUUCCAUUGCAUGAUGAGCUGAACUCUGAAAUGGUUUCCAAAAUAGAAGCCACAGCAGAUAGGAAGGAACUUUCUGUGAUGAAUGGAGACUUGAAAAAGUCAGGUGAUAUGGAGCAUCCCAGCAAGCCAUCAGACUGCCUGCAGGAAGGCCCUGGGCAUGACCCACUACCUGCAAACGGCUUGGAUGAACAGUUAUUAGAGGUCACUGUGCCUCUGUCCCAAGCCCAUUGUAGCCAAAAAGGUGUUCUCUCCCAGUGUGGCAGUCAGGACAGCAGCCAGCGAGCGGGUCUCCUCUGUGCCAGAGAGAGCGGACCUGAUGAUGAGUACGUGCUGGUGGAGGAAGUCGUGUGUGAUGUGAACGAGAAGGAAGAUGCCCCAUGUGAGAAAUUGGCACAAGAGAAGAGACUAAUCUGCAGAAGAAAUCCAUACAGGAUCUUUGAGUAUUUGCAGCUCAGCCUAGAGGAGACCUUCUUCCUGGUCUAUGCUCUGGGAUGUCUAAGUGUUUACUCUGGAAAGGAGCCUUUAACGAUUAUGAAACUCUGGAAAGUUUUCACGGCAGUUCAGCCCACAUUCAGGACUACCUAUAUGGCAUACCAUUACUUCCGGAGCAAGGGCUGGGUGCCCAAAGUGGGACUUAAGUACGGAACAGACCUACUACUGUAUCGAAAAGGACCUCCAUUUUACCAUGCAAGUUAUUCUGUCAUUAUUGAGUUAGUUGAUGACCAUUUUGAGGGCUCUCUUCGAAGACCUUUCAGUUGGAAGUCACUGGCUACCUUGAGCAGAGUGUCAGUGAAUGUCUCCAAGGAACUCCUGCUGUGCUAUCUGAUUAAACCCUCUACCAUGACUGACAAAGAAAUGGAAUCCCCAGAAUGCAUGAAGAGAAUUAAAGUUCAGGAAGUGAUUCUGAGCCGCUGGGUUUCUUCACGAGAGAGGAGUGACCAAGAUGAACUUUAACAAUUUGACCUCAGAAUUCUGAUUUCUCCAAAAAAUAUUUAUUGAGUCUCCUACAAUAAGCCAAGCUCAGGGCAAGCCUUUGAGUUCAGAUGGUGGACCCUCCACAGGAAGGUGUGAGGCUUGGAGAUAUGGCCACUGUCAGAAGUGAAAGUGGAGGACGUGGCCUGAGAGCUUCUGCAUGCAGUGCCUUUACACCAUCCCAACCACUGAAGUGACACCAGCCUGGAAAAUCCUGUGAAAUCAGAAAUGGGGCUUGUCUGGUUGGAGGUUAAAAAGGAAGAAUGCCCUCCACACAGGGCUGGGUAUGUGCUGGCACCGCUGGGUGGUGGGCCCCUACCUCAAAGGUUGGGGUGCAGCCUGAGAUCCCACUCACCAGGGACCUGCUCAUGCAUGUCAAUCUGCAUACAUCUUCAGGGGAUUCACAGAUUCUGUGAGGACCAUCUGUGGGCCCAAGGUGGGAGCCGUACGUGGUUCCUGACUUAAUUUGUUUCCCUGGAGAUGAUUUUAUUGAAAGUGAGGCAGUGAAAUGAGCCUCCUAGAAAGGACCCGUUUCGACCUCAGCUCUGCCUCUCAGUGGCUACGUGACCUUGGGCAACUUACUUGCCCCUUAUGAGCUUCAAUGGGGCACCCGUAUGUCGUUCUGGAACCCAGACCUACCCUGCCUUUAAGGCACCACCUCCUCAAGUUAGAGUCCAUAGCUUAUAGUUUUCAGGAUUUUUGAACUAUUUGUUAAGGCUCUGGUUUUGGUAUUAAGUUUCAGCAAUCCCUUAGUCUCUCUGAUUGGCUUUGGGUGGAGGACAGGAUGGCUAAGAUGAGCUCCUUGGUCUGAAGUCAGACGCAGGUUUGCAUCCCAACUCAUCCACUUACUGACCCUACAAUCUUAACCUCAGUUUUCCUCAUCUAUCAGAUGAUGUUAGUGUUAUCAACGUACACAUACAAUGGAAUGCUAUUCAGCCACCCCAAAAAAAGGACAUGCUACAACGGCGAUGAAUCCCGAAAACAUGCCAAGUGAAAGAACCCAGACACAAAACGUUAUGUAUUGUUUGAUUCCAAUUAUAUACCCCAAACAGGUAAAUCCCAUGAGAGAGAACACAUUGGUGGUGACCAGGGGCAGUAGGGGGAGAGGGCUGAGGAGCUUAUGGUACAGAAUCACCUUUCAGGUGAUGAAAUGACUUGGAACUCAAUAGAGGGGGUUGCACACUGUACUAAAUGCCACUGAAUCUUUUGCUUUAUAAUCAUUAUUAGUGUAAUAUGAAUCUCACCUCAAUAAAAAAUAUUAACGUCGUCAA